CCUACGGGUGGCAGCAGUGAGGAAUAUUGGUCAAUGGCCGGAAGGCUGAACCAGCCAUGCCGCGUGAAGGUCAGUGCCCUAUGGGCGUUAAACUUCUUUUGUGCGGGAGCAAUAAUGGUCACGUGUGGCCAGACGAGAGUACCGUACGAAUAAGCAUCGGCUAACUCCGUGCCAGCAGCCGCGGUAAUACGGGGGAUGCAAGCGUUAUCCGGAUUUAUUGGGUUUAAAGGGUGCGUAGGCUGGGAGGUAAGUCAGCGGUGAAAUGCCCCGGCUCAACGGGGUGAAGUGCCAUUGAUACUGCCUGGCUGGAGUGCGGAUGCGGUGGGAGGAAUGUGUGGUGUAGCGGUGAAAUGCUUAGAUAUUGCGCAGAACUCCGAUUGCGAAGGCAGCAUACCGGCGGCGAUCUGACGCUGAGGCACGAAAGCGUGGGUAUCGAACAGGAUUAGAUACCCGAGUAGUC
rnacentral:rRNA from 1 species